rnacentral:lncRNA from 1 species
GUAAAAAUGACUUUUAGGGAGCUACAAAUGUAUGAAAAAUCACACUAGAUAUUUUUGAGCAUGCAAGCACAUUAUCCAAUGGUUUACUUAAAGGUUAUUCAAGAUGAUAUACAUAUGUCUACAUGACCCUGUGCUAUUUUUUUAUUCUAUUUCUGAAAUAAACCUAAGUUGCUAUAUGUAUAAGUCAUACAUGUCCAGUGAGGAUUCUGGAAGGAAAAAAAAACUGAUACAUUCCAAAGGUUUCCCCCAAAACAAUUUCAGUGUGGAACUGUUUCCUGAGAUUUAGGAAUGCUUACAGGAAGCCUUUCAGGGGAUAGUGAAGUGUCCUUUGAUUAAGAUCAUCUGAAAGUGCUCACUAUUCCAAGAACUAGGAGAGCAAGGAAAGUAAUUGAACUGUAGGAGGCAGAUAAGAUCUGGCAUCAUCAAGGAGUUGCUGCCCAAGAAACAUGAACCCAGACAGAAAUGCA